rnacentral:rRNA from 1 species
UACGAAGGGGGCUAGCGUUGCUCGGAAUCACUGGGCGUAAAGGGCGCGUAGGCGGCCUUCUAAGUCAGACGUGAAAUCCCUCGGCUCAACCGAGGAACUGCGUCUGAUACUGGAAGGCUUGAAUCCGGGAGAGGGAUGUGGAAUUCCAGGUGUAGCGGUGAAAUGCGUAGAUAUCUGGAGGAACACCGGUGGCGAAGGCGGCAUCCUGGACUGGUAUUGACGCUGAGGCGCGAAAGCUAGGGGAGCAAACGGG